AGUGUCAUCCCGGCUGAAAGUCGACCUUGUGUGGAUUGCCAUGCUUUUGAGUUCAUGCAGAGAGCCCUCCAGGACCUGAAGAAGACUGCCUACAACCUGGACACACGGACAGAGACCCUCCUCCUACAGGCUGAAAGAAGGGCCCUGUGUGAAUGCUGGCCGGUGGUGUCCUAGGCCAAUCCCGUUUCUACCCUGCAGUUAAAAAAAAACAACAAAAAAAAAACCAACCCAAAACUGCAGGAAACUGGCUGAAGAUGUAAGCCUCUGAACCUCCCCAGCCAGAAAGGGGUUGUUUCUCCUCCUUUCCCCAGAGCACAUCUCCCCUGCUUCUGCCUGCAUCACCUCAGCUCUGGCCCCUGCACUGUGAACACUUGUGUCUGUGGCCCAGGGAGCUCUUGACACAAAGCCACUUUGUCUUUGGUCCCUCCCACCUCCCUUUCAGGACCCCUUAUCCCCGUCCUGGGCCCUGCCUCCCAUCCAAACUAAGGUGCUAAGGUAUUAUUGACAGGAAGACCUCCCCAAAGCUGUGAGCGCCUCGGGGU
rnacentral:lncRNA from 1 species